CCUGUGUGUGUGACUGUCUGCCUGUGUGUGUUUGUAUGGCUGUCUGCCUGUGUGUGUUUGUGUGGCUGUCUCCCUGUGUGUGUGUAUGUGUGACUAUCUUCCUGUGUGUGUGGAUGGCCGUCUGCCUCUGUGUGUGUGGCUGUCUGCCUGCGUGUAUGUGUGGGAUUCUGCCUGUGUGUGUGUGUGUCACGACUACUAGUG